rnacentral:rRNA from 1 species
UACAGAGGUCUCAAGCGUUGUUCGGAUUCAUUGGGCGUAAAGGGUGCGUAGGUGGCGCGCUAAGUCAGGUGUGAAAUUUCGGAGCUUAACUCCGAAACUGCAUUCGAUACUGCGGUGCUUGAGGACUGGAGAGGAGACUGGAAUUCAUGGUGUAGCAGUGAAAUGCGUAGAGAUCAUGAGGAAGACCAGUGGCGAAGGCGGGUCUCUGGACAGUUCCUGACACUGAGACACGAAGGCCAGGGGAGCAAACGGG